UCAAUCCAGGGUUUAUACACAUAGUUGGUCCUGACAUUACGGGGAAGUUUUUUCAAAGAUUUGGGUGCCAGGUCAGAGAAGAGUUUUGACAGGGUUUUGUUUAGAAGGGAUACAGCUUUUUUCCAGAUAGACUUUUCGCGGCCCUAAGCCCUUUUUUUUCUAAAUUGACUUUAAGUAGCCUUAAGCAAGUAAGGGGCAGUUCCCCUUGCUUCAUGUGGAGAAUAUACAGGAAAUACAACAUACUAAGGCACACCUGAAUAGGAUGCAUGAGGUUUGUACUUCAUAAUACUAUGUAAUUUGUACAUUAUUGUACUAUGUAAUGUAGGGUAUUUAUUUAUUACCAAAUGUAAGUUGAUUUACCUCUGUUACCUCCUCCGGCCCCACCUGCUCCAGUACUUGACUCUUCUUUCUCAUCCUUGCCAGAGAAGAGACUUCCGAAGCCGCCUCCCUCUUUGUCUUUGCCCUUGUCGUCAUCCUUUGAUCCUGCAAACAAUCCUCCAAUACCCCCACUGCUGCCCCCACUGGACUCCUCCUUCUUUGAAUCAUCCCCUCCAAGCAUGCUCUUCACCUUUUCUUUGGCAACUUUAGCUGCGAAACAUCACCAAGUGAACAGUUUAGAAAUCUGACCAGAAACACAUAUGAUGCAUGAAACUAAAAGCUGCUACCAGCCUCACUCCAGCCUAUGCAAAGUGGGACAGUGGAACGCUCCACAGAAAUGAAUCACGCAGAACAAAAGUCAAACAAACCAGUUCCAGCUGUGCGUCACUCCCUUCUCCUCACUCAACCCCAUUUCCUCCCCCCUUUCCCGCAUCUCCCCCUCACCUGCCGUAUCCACUGCCUGGUCCACAUAUUUGUCAGCCGAGUCACCCAAAAUGCCUGAGAGGAAAGACAUGUCUCUGAAGAGUAGUCAGCGUCUCUAGAGCAGUGUGUAUGAGUCUGAGAGAGUAUGUCGGAGUAGUAUGUGGGGGCGGAGGAGGGCAUGGAGUCUUAUAGAGGUUGGCACUCUCAGUCCCUAAGCCUACGCCUCUCACAGCUCUACCGAUUGGCCAGAGAGUACAGGAUAUGGCAAGAGGGUGUAACUCAGGACGGUAAGGAAGGGGAAUGGAGGGGGGCUGGCUUGCUUUUGAGAGUGAAUUCCAUGACUGCUUGCCUUUCCCCCCGAAUAAAAGCUUCUUUGUAGGGCUCGGUAGCUACAACACAGUAGAGGAGUGAGUAGCCUGUGAAUGUGUGUGUUGGGGAGGCUGGCUCUUGGAAACUGUGAAAGGAAAGUUUGGCACGCGGCCCUGUCUCCACCCUCAGUAGGAAUGCUUGAAAUGACCAUAAUGAUACUCUCUGUCACAGGCGAAGAGAUGAAAGGGGCCUAAAUGCAGUAGCCAAAAUACAAGUCUGCCCAUUGGAGCAGAGCUCUGUUUUGAGUCUGUCUUCAAAGUGCACCAUGAAGAGUGGUGGGAAAAACAAGAAACUGUCCAUCUGCCAUCAUUCGUGUGAUUGGUUCAACAUUCCACUAGCUCAUGAGUAACAGAAAAAUACUGCAUCCACGAGACCUAUGCUCGCAAUGAACAAUGUAACAAAGUAAGAAAUCAAUCGGCCAUAAGACUACUUACCUCUCAUCAAUAUUUGAUGAUGCAUUGUUGUGGAUUCUAUUGCUGUGGUUGUGCCAUAUGACUCAUCAAUUUGCAAUGUACUAAUAUCUGAGUUUGCAUGGGAUCUGAGGUGGGAUGGUGCAUUCACAAUUUCCUUUAUUUUGUAUUUUUUUAUCUCAGACAUGCUUAUCCUGACUUUAUCUAUAAUUGUAUAAGAGUGCCUUCUUUUUGAGUAGAUGUAGACCUACACUGUACACAUAAUAUAAGACAGUUAGACAGGAAGGGGGAUUCGACGCCAGUGGGAGCAGAAAAUAUUUUGGGUAUCUCAGAUUGUUCUGGCAAUUCUCACAUAUGAUAGUAAAUUGUAAAUACGGAGUAUGUCUAGAUAAUGAAACACCAUUUCCACAUUAAUUUAUUCAACAUUACAAAUAUGAAUAUGAAUAUCUCUAAACUACCCUUCUUGACUAUUUUUAGAUAUUUCCUAGUUCCGACUAGCACAUGAAUGCAACAUAAGUCUCAAAAGCCAGACCCUAGACAACACAGUGACUAAAGUUCGGUUUCAAUGAUAGACCCUCUUGGCAUAAAGGAGCUAUGUCACUGCCUACGUCGAUAAGGGAAAAUGAAUCAUCACGAGGUAUGUCUGCCAAAUCACGAGGCAGACAUGCCAGAACAUUGCGAUUCAAAACACAGGUUUGCAGGCAAAACCUUUGCAGUGGUUUGCCAAAUGCACUCCUUAAAAAUAACCUCCACGAUCUGCAUCUUGCUAGCUACUACACUGAACAAAAAUAUAAAUGCAACAUGCAACAAUUUCAAUCAUUUUACUGAGUUACCGAUCAUAAGGAAAUCAGUCAAUUGAAAUAAAUUCAUUAGGCGCUAAUCUAUGGAUUUCACGACUGAGAAAACAGAUAUGCAUCUGUUGGUCACAGAUUCCUUUAAAAAAAAGCUAGGGGUGUGAAUCAGAAAACCAGUCAGGAUCUGGUGUGACCACCAUCUCCUUCGCAUAGAGUUAAUCAGGCUGUUGAUUGUGGCCUGUUGUCCCUGUGGCCUGUUGUCCCUGUGGCCUGUUGUCCCUGUGGCCUGUUGUCCCUGUGGCCUGUUGUCCCACUUCCGUUCUAAGGAUGCGCAAAGAUGCUGGAUAUUGGUGGGAACUGGAAGACACUGUCAUACACAUCGAUCCAGAGCAUCCCAAACAUGCUCAAUUGGUGACUAGUCUGGUGAGUAGGCCAUGGAAGAACUGAGCCAUUUUCAGCUUCUAGGAAUUCUGUACAGAUCAUUACGACAUGCGGCAUUAUCAUGCUGAAAUAAGAGGUGACGGCGGGGCGGAUGAAUGGCACGACAAUAGGCCUCCGGAUCUCGUCACGGUAUCUCUGUGCAUUCAAAUUGCCAUCAAUAAAAUGCAAUUGUGUUUGUUGUUAGGCCUGGCCAUACCAUAACCCCAGCGCCACCACGGGGUACUCUGCUCACAAUGUUGACAUCAGCAAACGUCUCGUUCAAACGAAGCCAUACACGCUUUCUACCGUCUGCCCAGUACUGUUGAAGCUGGGAUUCAUGUGAGAAGAGCUAACUUCUCCAGCAUUCCAGUGACCAUUGAAGGUGAGAAUCUGCCCAUAGAAGUUGGUUAUGAAGCCGAACUGCAGUCAGGUCAAGAUCCUGGUGAGGACGACGAACACGCAGAUGAGCUUCCUUGAGACAGUUUCUGCAGAAAUUGUUGUGCAAGCCUACAGUUUCAUCAGCUUUAUGGGUGGUGGUCUCAGACGAUCCUGCAGGUGAAGAAGCCGGAUGUGGAGGUCCUGUGCUGACAUGGUUACACGUGGUCUGCGGUUGUGAGGCCGGUUGGACAUACUGGCAAAUUCUCUAAAAUGACGUUGGAGUCGGCUUAUGGUAGAGAAAUGAACAUCCCGCCCGCACACCGUUAAAGCUCCCAAUUCACCGCUUUAUUGGCAACGUUUCAAUCCGAAACAAGAAAUGAACAUACCCUUUUCUGGCAACAACUGUGGUGGACAUUCCUGCAGUCAAAUUAAAUCUAAAUCAAAUCAAAAUGUAUUUGUCAGAUGCACUAAAUACAACAAACGUAUACCUUACCAUGAAAUACUAACUUACAAGCCUUUAACCAACAGUGCAGUUCAAGAAUAUUUAAGAUAUUUACCAAAUAAACUAAAGUAAAAAAUAAUAACAAUGACGAGGCUAUAUACAGGGGGUACCGGUACCGAGUAAGUGUGCGGUGGUACAGGUUAGUUGAGGUCAUUUGUACAUGUAGGUAGGGGUCAAGUGAUAUUAAAUAGCGAGUAGCAGCAGUGUACAAAACAAAUGGAGGGGGGGGGGGGGGGG
rnacentral:lncRNA from 13 species